rnacentral:rRNA from 1 species
AUUGAACGCUGGCGGCAGGCCUAACACAUGCAAGACGAGCGGAUGAGGAGUGCUUGCACUCCGAUUCAGCGGCGGACGGGUGAGUAAUGCCUAGGAAUCUGCCUGGUAGUGGGGGACAACGUUUCGAAAGGAACGCUAAUACCGCAUACGUCCUACGGGAGAAAGUGGGGGAUCUUCGGACCUCACGCUAUCAGAUGAGCCUAGGUCGGACUAGCUAGGUGGUGAGGUAAAGGCUCGACCAAGGGGACGAUCCGUAACUGGUCUGAGAGGAUGAACGGUAACACUGGAACUGAGACACGGUCCAGACUCCUACGGGAGGCAGCAGUGGGGAAUAUUGGACAAUGGGCGAAAGCCUGAUCCAGCCAUGCCGCGUGUGUGAAGAAGGUCUUCGGAUUGUAAAGCACUUUAAGUUGGGAGGAAGGGCUGUAGGCUAAUAUCCUGCAGUUUUGACGUUACCGACAGAAUAAGCACCGGCUAACUUCGUGCCAGCCGCCGCCGUAA